UUAGGCCAUUGCCUAUGGGUGAUGAGCUCCAAGAAGAGUGAAACCAGUUAGGUCCUCUGGUGCUGCCCUAAUGAGCA
ensembl:misc_RNA